UGCUGCCUGGGGGUCCAUCAUUCCGUCCCCAGGGCUCUCCUGUGAGGGGUGCAUGUCCAGACAGAAACUGGCUCAGGGAGGUGAGGGCGGUCAGACGCCUUCCUGUUAGUUAGGAAGUGUUUCAGACCUGUCCAGCACCCAGCAGUCACCUACAGCCUGGACAGUUACCUGGGGGAUAGAUGUGAGCUUGGAUGGACAUCCUGAAAGGACACUAGAGGUGGGAUAGAGCUGGCCAGGGAGAAAGCCGGGCAGGCGAGGAGCAAGGCCCACGGAGGUGGUUAACAUCCUGUGUCAGCCCAUAUGGGUCCCAGGUUCUUGGUCAAAAUUGUUUCUGGGUGUGUCUGUGGGUUUCACAUCUGAACUGGACGACUGGGGAAAGCAGAAGGCCUGGGUAGGUCUCGUCCAGUCUAUCGAGGGAGGGCCCAAGCAGAGCAGAAGUUGGAGGGAGGGAGAACCUGUCCUCUUCUGUCCGACUGCAGAGCUGGACCCUGCUCGUCUGCCCAAGAUCAAGACUGACCCUAUUGGCUCCCUGUUCUCAGGCCUUUGGACUCGGACAGAUUAAAGGACGCCCUGGCUCUCCUAGGCCUCCAGCUUGCAGGUGGCGGAUCCUUGAUUUCUUGGCCUCCAUAAUCGUGUGAGCCAAUUCCUUUUUAUAUAUUAUUGUUGUUAUUCUGUUGCUAAGUCGUGCCCAACACUUUGUGACCCCAUGGACCACAGCAAGCCAGGCUCACCUGUCCUUUCCUUCUCCCGGCGUUUGCUCAGACUCAUGUCCAUUGAGUCAGUGAUGCUGUGUAAACAUCUGUAUGUGUAUAAUAUAUACAGGAGCACAUCUGUCUAUCUGCAUCUCCUGUUGGUCCGUUUCUCUAGAGAACCCUGAUGACACCCCCUCCUCCCUCACACACAGAGGAUACUUCUCAGUGGACACAACUUGACCGUGAGGCCUGGGGACCCCACUGUGACAGGCACAGUGGCUGAGUCAGGACAGUGUGGCCCUGCCUCCCUGUCCGCCCCACUCCCGCCACUGGGCCAAGGGCAGCUCUCUGUAUAUUUAGCACUCUCACCCUAGAGGGACAGUGGCAGCCACCUGUUGCAACAGGGCACGGCCUUACCUUUAGGUAACUUCCCUUCUGCAUGCAGGGUCCUGGCAGAGGAAACGGAGAGAGUGCGAGUGAGAACCCUCUGCAGUUAACGGGAGGGGCUGUCAGAGCCUGGCCUGCCCCACCCUGGGGUCCCUCCACGUAGGUUUCCAGGCAGGUUCUUGAGCAUAAGUCACCACAGAGAUGCCUUGGACUCCAUAGCUCUGGCUACGGCUGAAGGAGCUAGGGUGGGUCCUUCAUCCAAGGUCAGCCAAUCUGGAGAUGACCAGUGGCUUAUGAGGUGCCCUGGUCCAAGCUGUGCCCACCAGAGAUGAAAGUAACAAUGGACUCUUCAGAGUUUUUCUCCUUUAUGAGAUUGUGAUGUGAGUGUGGUGGGAAAAUAUGUAAAGUGUUCAUUGGUAUUUCUUCCCUGACAGUCCUCUCCCCUUGCAGUACUACCUCUUAGCAGUAGAGGCCAUUCUGUGCUCACUGCCCUAAGAGGAGGCGUGAGGGGAUUCCCUGGGGGUCCAGUCAUUAAGACUUGGUGCUUCCACUGCAGAGGGCACAGGUUCAAUCCCUAGUCGGGGAACUAAGAUCCCACAUGCUGUACAGUGUGGUGAGAAAAAAGCAUGUAUCCUAAGAGGAGGGGUGAGCUGAGUCCAACAGCAAUAUGAAAAUGAAAUCCUUGUUUCGGAAGCUGACAGGUGGGCAAUGGGACAAAGAGUCCCCUUCCCCCACACCCCAACACACAGACAUAUGGACUCAUGGGGAAGGGGUUCUCAGGAGCAGGGAUUAAAGACAAGAAGUUGGCCUGACUUACAGAGCUUGAGAAAUAGAAAAUGCCGAGCUCAGAGGCAGCUCAUCCUGCACUCUGGGUGUAGUCCUGGGGAUGAACUCCAAGGAAAGAGCUCAGAGGCAGAUCUAAGGGCAGGAGAGAGGUACCCUGGAGACACAUCUUCAAGCCCUGAAGAGAAUGGGCACGUUCAGAAGAAGGGUGUAGAGUCAGUCCUUGACCUCAAGCUGCCCUCUCCCUUCCCUAGGCUGGGUCCAGCAAGCUGCUUUUGGGCCCAAGAGGAGCAGGCUCAAGAGAUCAGGACAUAAGCUACAGGUUUGUAUGACCCCAGAGAAGUCCCUCAAAAUCUGUGAGGUUUUUUUUUUUUUUUUAACCAGUUAAAUGCAGGUGGUGGUUGUGGUUGUUAGUUGCGUGGUCGUGGUUGUUAGUCGCUCAGCCGUGAGUGACUCAUUGCAACCCCAGUGGGCUACAGCCCGCCAGGUUCCUCUGUCCAUGGGAUUUCCCAGGCAAGAAUACUGGAGCAGGUUGCCAUCUCCUCUUCCAAGGGAUCUUCCCAACACAAGGAUUGAAUCCACCUCUCCUGCAUCAGUAGGCAGAUUCUUUACCACUGAGCUGCCAGGGAAGCCCUAAAUGCAGAUGCAUGUCAGUAAAAUGCAGUGGCUGCAAAGAACAGGUGAGAUUUCAAAUGACGUGCACAUCCUCCUUCUCCAAAGAAAAAUCUGAAAUCAGGAGGAUGCCCAUUCAUCGAUCCCAGCCCUCAGACCUGCCCAUGAGCUACAAGGAGAUGAAAUUUGGCUCUAACAUUUCCUGAGGCCAAAGCAGAGGGAGGAAUCCAGUCAGUUCCUGCAUUUGGCUGCAUCUGGGGACAGAGAGACUCAGCUAUUAGGAGGCAAGGUCAUAACUCUAGGACUUGGGCACCUGCUCCUGGGAGGAUGAGGUGAGAUGACCCAUGGGGUGGAGAGUGAUGAGGAGACCGCCCACCCCAGCCGCCCAGGGAACUGGCGCACCAUCGUACCUCACAGCUGCAUUCAGAGCCACGUGGUUGCUGUGCCCACUCACGCCCCCCUCAUCGAAGGUCACCACCUGCAGAGACACAGAGCUGCAUUCCAGACUGUCUGAAUAGUCUCUCCCGCCUCCGUCCACACCGCCUGGGACAGACAGGAGGACCCAGAAUCCUGAACCUGUUCGUGUUCUGAGUGCAUCAGAACUGACUUGGGAGCAGGUCAGUGGUAUGUGACUGCUGUUCAGCCCUGUGGCUGUGGGCUUGACUCUUCUCUUGCUCCUGGACAGCAGAGCAGAGUGGAACUGGGCCACGAGAGAAACCUGGGUUCAGCAUGUCUGUGUUUCUUAUCUGCCUGGCCUCUUAGCAGCACGUUUGGUUUCCCGAGUGGCUGCUGCAUGACCUUUGUUCAUGUCGAUGCCGUCUGAUGAUUUGGUCCCUCUUCCUGGUGCUGUGUUGAGGGCAUGAAAGCGCUAGGGGACAGUGUCCACCAUGCCCUGGGGCUCAUAGAAGCCCGUGGCUCCUCGUAGGCUGCCUCUGCGUCCACAUUCUCAGACCAGCGUCUGCUUCUCCAACUAUAAGCCUAGCCUAGGCUCCAGAUUCAUUUCUGCACAGAUGAGUUAAAAAAUCCAAAGAAUAAUUUGAGUAAUAAUAAAUGUAAAAGAAUAGCUGGAAUAAGUAAAAAAAAAAAAAAAAAAAAAUGUAGGAAAGAAGACAGGACUCAGAGAAAGGCACAGGUGUGGCUGGUUGAGGGGGAUGGAAAGGGGACCAGGCAGCCAAGAGAGUAGGAUUAUGGAGGAGCAGGGGCAGGUGAGCCGACAUUUAAAGAAAAAUGCUGUUGAUCUUGAGUUAAUAAUUAGUGAGGCUGAAUGAUGGGAACAUGAAUUUCAUUAUACUCUUUGCUCUACUUUUGCAUGCUUGAAAUUCUCCACAGGGGGAAAUUUUUUUUAAAAAGGCUUACAAACAGAUCCCAUUAUGAUGGAUACGUGUCAUACAUUUGUUAAAACCCACGGGACAUACAGCACCAGGAGUGAACCCUAGUGUGAACCUGGGGUGAUGAUGACAUAUUAGUGUAGAUUCACUCGCUGUAACAGGUCAUGGGGCCAGGGGUACGUGUAUACUUUCUGCCCAGUUCUACUGUGAACCUAACAUUGCUCUGGAAACUAUAGUGUGUUAAAAAAAAAAACAAAACACUUCACCCUAGAACCCAGGUACCCCGUUCUGAUCCCAUCCUUCUGUGGAGCCAAGCCUGGAGUGCCGAAGUCCACUCUCACCUCUGACCUAGUUACCCUGACCUUCGGGCAUAUCAUAGAAUGUCGCUACUGGGAGCGAUUUCAUCUUCAGUGUCUUGGUUUUCUCAUCUGUGAGGUCAGGAGAGUGAGGCCUCCCUCCUUUCUCUCUGGGUCAGGUGAAGGUCAAAUGAAGCCCUGUGGGAACGUGUAGGACCUGGACAGCAGCCCAAGCUGAGUGUCCGCUGCCCUCGCUGAGGUGACUCUGGGACGCGGUUGUCUCAGGCCAGCCGGGGCACACUCCCUGGUCUGGGGGCUUGGGGCCACUGCAGUUCAUCCCCAUCACUUAAAAUUCUCCAAGGUCUUGUUUCCUGUUUAUCCCACACCUUCCAACAAGCCCUGAGUCUUCCUGCUGUGAGGAGGGCUGAGCUGAAUUGUCUCCACCCCCUGGUCUCAUGCAGCAAUGGCGUCUGUCCACCUUCCCCCCUAAACUGCGGAAACCUUUGUUCAAAUGAAGUCUUCCCUGGACCCCAGUAAACAAUAGGCUGCUUUCACUUCUCUAAGACAGUGGCUCACAGGACAUGGUCCGUGAAGGAUAAAUAGCAACACCUGUCACCAGGGCAAGACACACAGCAAAUACUGCCCCAAAGAGGACUGAAGAAGUCAUGGAGGGUUUCUGGGAGAAGGCGGUCUUAGCUGGGCCUGGACCACAAGUCAGUUUUCAGGGAAACAAACUUGGGAGAUUCUUCUGUGUCUGUGCCCUGACCUCUUCCCUAGAUGUUCAGAGCUGUGGCUGUGAUGUGGUCUAAACACGAACUCGGCCCCUCAGUGAGUUCCAGCCCUGUUCACCAGCCAGUGGCACCUUUGGGAGGGCUGGUCAGAGGUGGCCAAGUUCACAAAUAUGGGGGUUUAUCCCACAAGCAGGACUGACUGAAGACCAGUUGUUCCAAUGAACCAAAGCCAGAGAGGAGACUAGCCAGAGAGGAGAGGGGACUAGCUGUGGGCAUGUCACUGCCCAGAAAGACGGGGUACCAAGGGUCACUGCAGCAUACCUCACAGACCCUGCCCUGUGCCCCAGACGGCCCUGAGGACCAGCUCUGUCCACCACCAGGCUGUGGAACCCUGAGAGGGUCUGAGUGUGGUCUGGGAAAAGCAGGGCAAGAGGAGCCAGGCCGGCUAUCACCUCAGACCCUGAAGCAAGGUACAUCCAGGAGGGGUGGGCCUGCAGCUGUUGGUGACCAUUCGUCCGGCCAGAACAAAGUGCAAAGCCAGUGCAGAUCCCUGGUGGGGCCAGUGGCCCCCCUGCACCUACAGCUCCGUGUGGUUCACAGCCAGCUGGCGAGGUGCCCGUUGUAUUUAUGUCAUUAGAGCACAAAGGCAGUCUGACUAAUCCACGAAAAUCUGCCCUUAACAAUGGCCUAAUAACUCAUUUCACUCGGAGGAUGCAUCACUGAUAAGAAGCCUGACAGUGGGGUUCACCUUCUAACAAGGAUUAAUCAAAACUUAAAAGCCAGCGGCUGGGGCUUUAAAUGGUAGGAUUUAGGUAUUAACUUGUGAAGGGUUAUUCUUAUUUUAGACGUUCCUGGCACCUUAAGAUGGACUGCUGGCAGGAUGCAGGCUGGCGAGGCCUGAGCGUAGAGGAGCUGUGGAUUUAUCCUCGCAUUUUCUGGAGGGAAAAAUGGAGGCUCAAACCCCUAGCUUCAUGCUUGCCGACCUUGGGCAGCUUCUGAGCCUCUGGGAACCUCAGUCUCCUCGAUGAAGGAAAGGUGCAGAGAGACAGGCCAGAUCUCUGCUGGAGAGGAGGGCGUGUACCCUUACCAGCUUGAUGCCAUUGGCCUCUACGUGCCGGAGGAGGACAUCAGCCGCCCGCUCUGGGUCCCAGCGCACGUCUGGAUCAUCUGGGAAAUCCCUGGAAGGAAGAAGUGCACGUUGGAAACCGUUUCUAACGGGGUGCAGGCUCUCCCCUCAGCUCUGCCUCUUUCAAGGAGCAGAAUCAGCCACAAAUACAUGCCUUGUUGAGGCCAGCCUCCCUGGUCCCACUCUUCUUCUAAACUGACACGAAACUUGACGACCCAGCCUCCCUCCAGCUCCCAGGAUAACCUGCCUUUGAAGUAGCACAGGAGCAGCCUUCCAUGUUGGCACAGUUGCUCCAUAUCAGCUUGGUCCACUUGAGUCUCCUCCCAUGGCUCCUUUUCUAGGAAACGUCGUCCUUUGUGCCCUCUGGAAGGACAGGAGCCCUGCCCUGCUCUUGCCAACUGGGGCUGGAACGCUGCCCUCUCACUGUACCCAGUCACUUCUUUGUGUCUUUGGAGAAAAGGCCCUGCGAGGAGCUUCGUUUUAUCUCUUUACAGUAAGAGGAUGCUUGGUCACGUUCACUUUGGCACUUGGCAUAUGGUCUGUUUUGGUUUCUGGAAGGGGCCGGCUUUUACAGGGUCUCAAGAGGAGAGGGGAUUAGUUACCAAGGGGACCCCAGCAGCCCCAGACUCUCUGCUUUGUGGCUUCCCUUUCACUGAUUUGUGUGCGUUUAUUGGAAAACACAGAGACUUCUAGGAACUGGUAGCGGGCCAGGCUCAUUUAUGUUGCCUAGUGGGUACUGGAUUCUAUUUCCUUGUUCAACUUAAAUCAGUCUGUUAAGGUCUUGGGCUUGUUAAUGCCAGGAUGACAUUGAGACGAGCAGUAGGAGAAAAGAUGCUGAAACCUUAGGAUGGUGGAGCCAAACUGACAGGGUGGGAAAAUCAAGAUGUAGAAAAAUACUCCCAAACCUAAGUGCUCACUUAGGACUUCCAAAAGGCUAAAAAUAACCAUGCAAUUCAGGGAUCAAGACUGUUUUCUUUAAAAAAAAAAAAAAAAUUGAAAACAGUUUUACUGAAGUCUCAGGAAUUGGUUUGCUAUUCACCAUUUCUGAGUCAAUGAAAAAAAAAAAUCGAGGAAAGGGGGUUGGAGACCACACACUUAUGGGGUGCCACAGGAAGGAAGCUUCUGGUGUGAGCCAAGUAGCCUGUUUAUUCAACAAACAUGCAUUGAGCAACUAUAUAUCAAGUGUUAGGAUAGUGGUUGGGGAUACAUGAAGAAAAGAUACAGAGGGGCUUGUGGAGUAAAAAAAUGAUGUAUAUAUUGGGAUAUGAUGGGACAAUGACAAUGUAGCCAAAGUGCCCAAGAAAAUCUGGGCAAAUCAUGGAUGUUGCAGAGUUGAAGGUAAUCUUGAGCUGGGGUUUCAAGGAUGAAUAGGAGUUUGCUAGACAGCCAGGAUGUGGGGAGCUGGGAAGGGAGGAAGCAGGCAGAGGAGGGCCAGGCACAUGCAUGAGUGUGGAUGCAGAAGAAAGCUUGGUGGGUUUGCAGCCUGAUUUGCAUACGAGAACAGACUGGGGUGCUGGGAAUCCUCUGCUUUUGUGGUGGGAAUAGAUGUGAUGUGGGUACGGCAGGUAUGGGAUGCUAGGAGCAGGGAUCAGACCACAAUCACCUCCGAGACUCCAAAAGUUUCUCCCAACGGUUGGUUGUUGGGCCCUGAUGCAUUUUUAUGGGCCUGGUUAUGACUGGAAGGUCUACUUUAUUUCAUUACAAUCAGUGUGUGUGUAUGUGUGUGUGUGUGUGUCUCAGUCGCUCAGUCGUGUCCAACUCUCCAAUCCCAUGGGCUGUAGCCCUCCAGGCUCCUCUGUCCAUGAGGAUUCUCCAGGCAAGAAUACU